rnacentral:rRNA from 1 species
AAGGGGAAAGAUUUAUCGCCUUUGGAUUGGCCCGCGUCUGAUUAGCUAGUUGGUGAGGUAAAGGCUCACCAAGGCGACGAUCAGUAGCUGGUCUGAGAGGAUGAUCAGCCACAUUGGGACUGAGACACGGCCCAAACUCCUACGGGAGGCAGCAGUGGGGAAUAUUGGACAAUGGGCGAAAGCCUGAUCCAGCCAUGCCGCGUGAGUGAUGAAGGCCCUAGGGUUGUAAAGCUCUUUCGACGGGGAAGAUAAUGACGGUACCCGUAGAAGAAGCCCCGGCUAACUUCGUGCCAGCAGCCGCGGUAAUACGAAGGGGGCUAGCGUUGCUCGGAAUUACUGGGCGUAAAGCGCACGUAGGCGGGUCGUUAAGUCGGGGGUGAAAUCCUGGAGCUCAACUCCGGAACUGCCUUCGAUACUGGCGAUCUCGAGUCCGGGAGAGGUGAGUGGAACUCCGAGUGUAGAGGUGAAAUUCGUAGAUAUUCGGAAGAACACCAGUGG